UUCAUGAACCUUUCUUUCCUUGUGUGUAGUUUUAUCUCUCCUAGACUAGGCACAGGUUAGGAUGAAGUUUUUACCUGUUGUAACAUGAACACAGCAUCGAUGUAGAUGCAAAGGAGCAUUACGGCUCAGUGUUAGCAGGUCACAGAAAGCACAGGCUUUCUUUUUGCUAAUCCUUAAACUGUGGUAUGUGCCACAAACACUGUGACAGGUGAAUCUGCCCUUUUCUGUUAUCAAUUAGCACUGUCAAUCCAGAGCCUGUGGAAGCUGGAGAACAUCCUCCAGUUUUUGCUUGCUCCUGAGAGAGCUCGUCAGCAAUAACGCUGCAAAAGGAACUUCUGCCAUUUCCACUGCUAAGGCUGACAGUAGGAUAUUAAUUUGUACCCUAUCACAAGUGGUCAUAAUACCACCGAGCAGUGUUUAGUGAUUUGUGGGUUCCUGUUUGUAACUAUCCUCUCCUGGUAAGGGCCAGUGAUGUGCUCCCUCAGUACCAUGUGGAAAUGGAAGAGGCAGAAACAGAAAAGCAGUCAACUCUUCAAGAAGUGUUUGGAAAAUGCUCUCAGGAGAGAGCUGACACAAUGCAUGGACAAUCCCCCAAGUCUGCACACCCUUGAAGCACAGACCUCUGCUGCACAUGUGUGUCUGUUGGCAGUUUGUUCCUUACCUGGAAGAAAAGCAUGAAGCUGGGAUGGGACACGUUCAGCUGGCCCAGCUUCCAUGCUGAAUCCAGUUCACUGAAUCCAGUCAUAGAUCGGUGACAAAUCCUGAAUAGCAAACCUCAUUAAUGUACCUAUGUGAGACACUGGAUGCUGUCUGUAGGUGAUCUGUUCAGUUGCUGGAUCUCACUGUUUAUUAUAACUAAACCCAUUUCCUAGUGUU